GGGUUUUUUUGAAAAAUUGAAAAAAUUGAUUUUUUGUAAGUAAUAAAUUUAGUUAUUUG
rnacentral:tRNA from 1 species